AUGUGCAAAUUGCUUAAUUUAUAUCUUUAUUAUGAUAUAAAGCGGGGGACCCACUUUUUUGGGGCGAAUUUCCUUUAUGGAAUAGGAUACUUUUCAAUCCGAGUCCGGCAGCUAACCUCGUCAGCAUUGAAAAGAGUUGAG
rnacentral:sRNA from 2 species